UGCAGGGUGGAGCAGUCCGGUCAGCUCGCGUGGUUCAUACCCAUGAGGUCGCCGGUUCGAAUCCGGCCCCUGCUACCA
rnacentral:tRNA from 1 species